UACGAAGGGGGCUAGCGUUGUUCGGAAUCACUGGGCGGAAAGCGCACGUAGGCGGAUCUUUAAGUCAGGGGUGAAAUCCCGAGGCUCAACCUCGGAACUGCCUUUGAUACUGGGGAUCUCGAGUCCGGGAGAGGUGAGUGGAACUGCGAGUGUAGAGGUGAAAUUCGUAGAUAUUCGCAAGAACACCAGUGGCGAAGGCGGCUCACUGGCCCGGAACUGACGCUGAGGUGCGAAAGCGUGGGGAGCAAACAGG
rnacentral:rRNA from 1 species